GAUGAACGCUGGCGGCGUGCCUAAUACAUGCAGGUCGAGCGAACAGACGAGGAGCUUGCUCCUUUGACGUUAGCGGCGGACGGGUGAGUAACACGUGGGUAACCUACCUAUAAGACUGGGAUAACUUCGGGAAACCGGAGCUAAUACCGGAUAAUAUUUCGAACCGCAUGGUUCGAUAGUGAAAGAUGGCUUUGCUAUCACUUAUAGAUGGACCUGCGCCGUAUUAGCUAGUUGGUAAGGUAACGGCUUACCAAGGCAACGAUACGUAGCCGACCUGAGAGGGUGAUCGGCCACACUGGAACUGAGACACGGUCCAGACUCCUACGGGAGGCAGCAGUAGGGAAUCUUCCGCAAUGGGCGAAAGCCUGACGGAGCAACGCCGCGUGAGUGAUGAAGGUCUUCGGAUCGUAAAACUCUGUUAUUAGGGAAGAACAAACGUGUAAGUAACUGUGCACGUCUUGACGGUACCUAAUCAGAAAGCCACGGCUAACUACGU
rnacentral:rRNA from 1 species